rnacentral:rRNA from 1 species
AGCGAACGCUGGCGGCAGGCUUAACACAUGCAAGUCGAGCGGGCAUCUUCGGAUGUCAGCGGCAGACGGGUGAGUAACACGUGGGAACGUACCCUUCGGUUCGGAACAACUCUGGGAAACUGGAGCUAAUACCGGAUACGCCCUUAUGGGGAAAGGUUUACUGCCGAAGGAUCGGCCCGCGUCUGAUUAGCUAGUUGGUGGGGUAACGGCCUACCAAGGCGACGAUCAGUAGCUGGUCUGAGAGGAUGAUCAGCCACACUGGGACUGAGACACGGCCCAGACUCCUACGGGAGGCAGCAGUGGGGAAUAGUGGACAACGGGCGCAAGCCUGAACCAGCCAUGCCGCGUGAGUGAUGAAGGCCUUAGGGUUGUAAAGCUCUUUUGUCCGGGACGAUAAUGACGGUACCGAAAGAAUAAGCCCCGGCUAACUUCGUG